rnacentral:rRNA from 1 species
UACGUAGGGUGCGAGCGUUAAUCGGAAUUACUGGGCGUAAAGUGUGCGCAGGCGGCCGAGCAAGUCGAGUGUGAAAGCCCCGAGCUUAACUUGGGAACUGCGCUCGAAACUACUUGGCUAGAGUGUGGCAGAGGGAGGUGGAAUUCCACGUGUAGCGGUGAAAUGCGUAGAGAUGUGGAGGAAUACCGAUGGCGAAGGCAGGUCUCUGGGCUGACACUGACGCUCAUGCACGAAAGCGUGGGGAGCAAACAGG